GUGACUGAGGAAGAUCUUUCUGAUAAAUAUUAACCUUUAUAAGUGUGGCCAAACAGCCUGGCAUGUGAGUCCUGCUGGGCUUUCAGGAACUAGGCUUUGCUGAAAAACCCAGGAUGGGUACUGCACAGAGAGCCCUCUCAAACCACCUGUGGCUUCAUCACAAGGUAUUUCACCUUUUCAGCUAAUUAACAUUAAGAGGAUGAAAAUCCCUUUUGGUUUCCCCUGAAGUUUCCAAAGCACAGAGAGAGAAGAGGAAGAGUUGGCAGCGUGAGCUUUUUCCUGAUGGUUUAAGACUCUUUCCUCAUAAACUGUGGCAGAGGAGAGCACAUAGUAAGAUCUAAAAGUAGAUGCAGUGAUAUCCCAGGAUGACUCAGAUAUUUAGUACAUAGAAGAUAAUUUUCCAAAUGCUACAAGCACUAUAUAAAAAGCCAAGCCCGUGCUGCUCUCCACGUCAGGAUUCCCCCUGCUGUUAGAUGCUUAAACCCAGAUAAAAUCCCACAAAACCACUGGCUGGUUUAAAGUGCUGAGGUGGGUUAGGUCAUUGCCAUGGGCUCCUUGGCCACCUGUAACCACAGCCAGGUGUGGCAAUGACUCAGGCUGGUGGUGGUGAUGCCUCAAACCCUGGAGGAUUGGCAGCAGGAGCUGACAUGCUCCCAACCUGCUCGGUGCAGGAGCAGUUGGGACAUGUCUCUCCUCAUCCCAGGAGAGCUGGGCCAGCUGUAAAGCUUGGGAUGAGGUCAGGGAAUUACUAACGUGAAUGGAAGGAGUCAGAGGGAGUUUUUCUGGUGAGUUCACACAUAGCUGGCUCAUGCCAGGGGUGGAGAUCCAGGAUUGAUAGAGGAAACAAAGCAGGGGAAAUUCUGAGGUGUGCAGAGAGCUGUGAGGGGAUGAAACCAGGGCAAGUGCACAAUUCAUCUUGUUGAUACAGCCUGCAGCCCUCUUGGCCUGAGGCUGCCAACUUGUCACGCACAAGACAGGUAAAUUCAAUCUUCUGCCUGCAAAUUUUGCCACCCUCCCAUGUUGUUCAGUAGCUGACAAAGGGCUGAGACCUCCAGGCUCUGUGGGAGUGUGCUCAGGGACUGCUAAUGCACACACAACUUGUUUGCAUUCUCCCAUCAUUAUCCAGAGGUGCAAAUUUUAUCUUAUUUUGAAGCACACUUCUGUUUUCCUCCUGAUGGUAACAUUUUCCUUUCCGGCUGUAAAUCUGUGUGAUGUGUCCAGGCUGUCCCUGCUGGGACUCAUCCCUCACAGCAGUCACUCAACAGAGGGACCAAAUUUCCUGGUGCCAGGGCCAGAGGGGGACAGUGCCAGCCCUGUUGGAGAAGCAGAGGUGAGCCUGAGGAAGUCAAUCCUGCCCUAGAGCAGAAGCAGAGGGGGCUGAGAUGUGCAGGGCAGAGAACAGAGAUGUUGGGACAUCUUUUCCCACAGGGUCUCACCUGAUUCCCUGCCCUCAUUUCUACCCCUCCUCAAUUUAUAAUUUUUAUUCCUUUCUGUGUUCAAGGAGCUUCCUAAGAAUGGAAAGUCUACAAAAGCAAGAGAAGGCACAGCAGGUGACCUGUCCCAGAUGGAGCCAGGGGGACACAGGGGAACUGAGGAGCCCCAGGAUGAGUUGGUGUCACUUUGGCCAGGAUCUGUUCCCAGACUCAGGAUCCAGUCCCUGACUCUGCUGGUGGUGGAGAAAAUCCUGUCAAAUCCAGGUCCUGAACUUCUGUGAGUCUGCCAGGAGGCUGCUGGGAACAACAACACAAAUCAAAACCCCCCAGUAAAUCAGUGGAUUACCUUCCCCACAUAAAUCACAGCGUCACCACAAAAAUCUUACAGUUACAACAAAAGCAAACCUGCUCAACUAAAGUCUGGACUUGCACCUCCCUGAGCACUCAGUGUUCAUUUUUCCCUCAGAAGCCUUGGACAAGCAAUUUAAGCACUUCAGCUGGCCACCAGCUCACCUUCCCUCCUCUCUGCAAAGACAUUUGGGACCUUCAACAAGUCUCAAAUAUGUGUUUGGAACCUUCAGUCAGGCCCACAUACAUGUUUUGGACAAACGUUUACACAAAUGCCAAACUGGACCCUCUGUGAGUCCUGAGGAUUGGCCAAGUGAACGUGAACUCUGAGAGAACAGAAAUAUGAAAAUUGUUACCAGCCAUCCAUUUGCAAAACACUGAUUCUGGAGAAAUUAAAUACAGGACAUUUUUGUGGACAACAGAGGUAGAUUCCAUUGGUUAUACGUAGGAAGGGAUCUUAAGAAAUGGCUUGCAAGGAGUUUAAGAACACCCAAUUCAUCCAGGGCCCAUGGCUCCAUUAACUGUGCAGCUUUUGAUGACUGUACUUUCUUAUGACCUGGAAACUGUAUCCAAAAACAUUACUGACAUCAUUCUGCAGAACCCUCAACAAUUUAGAUCAGGAUUUUUGACAAGAGAAAAAUGUGCAGUUCAUACAGAUGAGCUGUCAGCCACAGGAUACGCAGUUAAUUAAAAAAAAAAUGAACAACAACAAUUACUAACUUUAGAGGGAGUCAGAAUUCAAACCAGUAGGUCUGCAAGAUGGGCAAGAAAUUACAAGCAACCAUUCUAUACUGGUUUGUAAAAGCCUGGUAUGGUGUCCACUUUCCAGUAAGAAAGGCAGGUCCAAAUGCUCCUGGUUUAACCCAAAGCCCCAGACACGUCAAUUACCCAACAAGUGGGAAGGAGAAGCAUGUCAGUAAUUUGAGCUAUUUUUCACAUCUUUGUUUU